UCAGUGCUGCAUUCUGGUAUCACAAGCUAAGCUCAUGCAGCAGCAGAGCACUCCGAGUCCUAACUUCUCUGGACUGUGAAACAACAGCCUGUCAAUGUAAAGUGCCUGUAAACAGAAAGUCUCCUGCAUGCAAUGGCACAGUAAUCUUCCUGGGCUCCAGCUUUGCUCCACAAGCACUGAGCAGAUUGUGAGCUCUAUAAAGGAUGAGGUUGUUUCAAACUCACUGUGUUCAAUCACAUUUGGACUUAAGCAAUCUUGCUCAGCCCAUCUGUUGGUUUGGUGGUAUCCUGCUGCUGGUCAACCAGUGGAGGAGUUCUCUGAAGGCUCAGAAAAAUUGCACACCUGAACAACCUCCAAUCACAUACAAUUUAACCACCUUACAAGUUGAAAGAACGGGGAACACGAGCAACUGAAGCCAGAAUACUUAAGCACAGUGUGUAGAGGCUGUUGUUCUCAGACCAUAUCUCUUUAAGACAAAGAUGGAGUGUUAUUUCCAAGUCUCCACCACUGACAUGUUUGAGUAGAAAAUAGGAAACUAAAAGGAAGGUGUCGUAAUCCAGUGUUUAGCCUUUUCUUUCAAUGUAGUGGUUUACUAAUCUGGGAAAGUAGGUGUGCAUGGUGUUUGACAGGUAGACGGGAGAAACUACAUGAACCAAAGGAUGUACAAUCUGCAGACCACUUGUGUGAUUAGAGCUGAGGAAAACUCUGUAGCCAUGCAGAGUGUCGUGGUGCCAGCUGUGCUCUCUACAGAGCACAGACAUUUGAUUUCAACAUAUGAGACAGAGAAUACAAACUGAAAAUGAAAGAUGUAGCGGACGGAUGUCAGUAAAUGUAGUAAUUUCAUAAGAUGGUGAAUUCAAGUAAAUAUGUAACCAGGUAUCGGACAUAUGCAAGGUUGCUGGAGAACAGGGGAGCACACUCAUUCAUUCUAAUGUUUUAAUCUAUUUUCUUAAUUGCUUUUUUAAUAUUCUCAUAAAUUUUUUUUCUUACUCACUUAAAAGGAAGCUGAAUGAAAGGAUGGUGACAUGUGGGAGGAGAGUCAGGGCUGGCAGAUUGUGUUCAACAUCCUCCACAUUCCCUUAUUAGUUUAGUCAGACACAUUAUUUCACAUUAUGAGAAACAGAUGAGAAACUGCUAAAACAUACAUUAUGAGAAACAUUAGGAGAAGCUGCUAAGCAUACAUCUAAAUAAUGUUAAACCAACAGCGACUCUAGCUGAGGGCCAGCUGACUCACCAAGCUCUGUAAAUCUAACCUUCACAGCACUCACACAGUAUGCAUAUUCCCACUAGCCAUUGGACAGGUUGAGUUGUAAUGCUGAGUAAUCAUUACAUAAACUGUGUGUGGGAGAGAUGAAGGAGGGAAACAAACUGAGGCAGCAGCACUUCAGUGAUAGGAACUGAGGACAGCAUCCACCUUGUCUACGUUAUACCUGCUCUUCAGCACAAUAUACAACUUCAGCUACUCCAGACGCUCUAUUGGGUGAAUUGUACCACAUUUCCACAUGCUUUUCUUGCCUUGAGUUUUCUUCUCCUGUUGCAGAAAGUUCAAUUUAUGUUCUGUGCAAGACAAUCAGCUAGAAUGUGUCAAGUGUAAUGAAGUUCUAAGGAAAUAAAAUAGGAUACUUUAUAUGAUCAUCCAUGGAAAAUCAUCUGUGGCUUGGCUGAACCUUUAGAAUAAAUGCUUGUGGUUGCAUGGCUUGCCUUUGUUUUGAGCUGAUCUGUGGAAGGCAUCAGCAGGACUGGUAUAAUAUUCAACUCUGUUAAUAUUUGCAGUUAGUGUGGAUUGAUGGUCAGUUCUCAGCAGAAUGGAAAAUGCAGUGUCUGUGUGAGAUGAGGUCAUUGCAUAUCACCUAGAAUGAUUUUUCCAUAAAAGUCCUUUCUUGGGAUUUGGCGUCUUAAGCAUCUCCAACCCUUUGAGUAUCCUUAGGCAAUAUAUUUUGCAAAUCUUUUAAGUAGGAUGCCUCAAAUCUGUGUGUAAUACUGCAGAAACUAAGACGUUGCUCCUUUUCACACAGGCAUAUUCAUGCCAACAUAUCUAGGAAAAUUCUGUCUCCAUGUCAGUCAGACUUAUGCACAUUUUGCUUUUAUUGUUCCACAGAAAUUCAAUAUGAUAUAUUUUAACCAUAGUGUUUUGUGUGCUUUGUGGGU